CCGCGACCCCAGGUCAGGCGGGACUACCCGCUGAGUUUAA
rnacentral:rRNA from 30 species